UACGUAGGGUGCAAGCGUUAAUCGGAAUUACUGGGCGUAAAGCGUGCGUAGGCGGUUUUGCAAGUCCGUUGUGAAAGCCCCGGGCUCAACCUGGGAAUGGCAGUGGAAACUGGGGGACUGGAAUCUGGCAGAGGGGAGUGGAAUGCCGCGUGUAGCAGUGAAAUGCGUAGAGAUGCGGCGGAACACCGAUGGCGAAGGCAGCCCCCUGGGCUGAGAUUGACGCUCAGGCACGAAAGCGUGGGGAGCAAACAGG
rnacentral:rRNA from 1 species